GACGAACGCUGGCGGCGUGCUUAACACAUGCAAGUCGAACGCUGAAGCUCAGCUUUUGUUGGGUGGAUGAGUGGCGAACGGGUGAGUAACACGUGAGUAACCUGCCUCCUUCUUUGGGAUAACGCCCGGAAACGGGUGCUAAUACUGGAUAUUCACUGGUCUUCGCAUGGGGGUUGGUGGAAAGGGUUUUUCUGGUGGGGGAUGGGCUCGCGGCCUAUCAGCUUGUUGGUGGGGUGAUGGCCUACCAAGGCUUUGACGGGUAGCCGGCCUGAGAGGGUGACCGGUCACGUUGGGACUGAGAUAGGGCCCAGACUCCGACGGGAGGCAGCAGUGGGGAAUAUUGCACAAUGGGCGCAAGCCUGAGGCAGCGACGCCGCGUGAGGGAUGGAGGCCUUCGGGUUGUGAACCUCUUUCGCUCAUGGUCAAGCCGCAACAAUGGUUGUGGUGAGGGUAGUGGGUAAAGAAGCGCCGGCUAACUACGUG
rnacentral:rRNA from 1 species